UCUCUGGUGGCUCAGAUGGUAAAGAGUCUGCCUGCAAUGCAGGAGACCCAGGUUCAAUCCCUGGGUCAGGAA
rnacentral:tRNA from 1 species